UACGUAGGGUGCAAGCGUUAAUCGGAAUUACUGGGCGUAAAGCGUGCGCAGGCGGCUAUGCAAGACAGAUGUGAAAUCCCCGGGCUCAACCUGGGAACUGCAUUUGUGACUGCAUGGCUAGAGUACGGUAGAGGGGGAUGGAAUUCCGCGUGUAGCAGUGAAAUGCGUAGAUAUGCGGAGGAACACCGAUGGCGAAGGCAAUCCCCUGGACCUGUACUGACGCUCAUGCACGAAAGCGUGGGGAGCGAACAGG
rnacentral:rRNA from 1 species